rnacentral:rRNA from 1 species
GACGAACGCUGGCGGCGGGCUUAACACAUGCAAGUCGAACGGAAAGGCCUCUUUCGGGGGGUACUCGAGUGGCGAACGGGUGAGUAACACGUGAGUAACCUGCCCUUAACGGUGGGAUAACUUCAGGAAACUGGGGCUAAUACCGGAUAGUAGCGCCUGCUGCAUGGUGGGGGCUGGAAAGUUUCGGCGGUUGGGUAUGGACUGGCGGCAUAUCAGCUUUGUGGUGGGGUAGUGGCUUACCAAGGCGUUGACGGGUAGCGGGACUGAGAGGGUGAGCGGCCACACUGGGACUGAGAUACGGCCCAGACUCCUACGGGAGGAAGCAGUGGGGAAUAUUGCACCAGCGGUGCCAGGCUGAUGCAGAAAGGCCGUGUGCGGGAUGACGGCCUUAGGGUUGAAAAACGCUAUCGAUCAUGAAGCAGCUUUGUGUGACGUUAGUGGGUAAAGAAGCACCGGCUAACUACGUG